AUCACCCCCACGCCAACCGGCCCCGAGGGCGGCGCUAUUUCCAGCCGGGCCGAACCCCGGAGAUGCUCUAAAGGCCCAGGAUCCCAUCUCCCUCCUCCCACCUCCAUCACCAUCCGCCUCCGGCGGCGCCGCCGGCCACCUUCAUAACCCACCACACAAUAGCCCUCCGCGCCAUGCCCCUGCCCCUGCCCGUUCCCACCUCCCGCCUCCUCGCCGCCAUCUCCGCUGCUGCGUCCUCAACUGCAGACCUCCGCCGCCUCUCCCACCUCCUCCUCACCUCCUACACCCCACUCCCCCCGCUCCGCUGCCUCAAUACCCUCCUCAUGGCGCUCGCCCGCCACCGCAUGCUCCCGGACAUGGAGUCCUUCGCAUCCCGCAUGCCCGCGCGCAACCUUCGCACGUACACCACCCUUAUCAAUGCCUACUGCCUCGCCGGCGACCUCCCUGCUGCCAAGCGGCAUCUUGCCUCCCUACUCCGCGCUGGUCUUGCGCCGGACUCUCAUGCGUAUACCUCAUUUGUUCUCGGAUAUUGUCGGGCGGGGCUGCUUUCGCACGCCUGCCGGGUGUUCGUGCUAAUGCCGCUCCGAGGAUGUGCACGCACUGUGUUCACGUACACUGCUCUGCUCCAUGGGCUGUGUGGCGCCGGUAUGGUGCGUGAGGCUGUGGCAGUGUUUGCUGGGAUGCGGGCAGACGGGUGCGCCCCUGACACACAUGUGUAUGCCACGAUGGUGCAUGGACUGUGUGGGGCGGGGCGAACUGGAGAGGCAGAGGUUCUUCUCGCGGAGGCAAUGGCUGAGGGUUUUGAGCCAAAUGUGGUCGUCUACAAUGCCCUGAUUGAUGGCUACUGCAAUGCCGGGGACCUGGAGCUCGCGGUUAAGGUUUAUGAGAGGAUGGAUCUUAAGGGCUGCUCAGCAAAUGUGCGAACGUAUACUGAGCUGAUAUGUGGGUUCUGCAAAUCUGGCAAGGUGGACAGAGCCAUGGUGCUGUUCAGCCGGAUGGUCGAGGCUGGUUUGGCUCCAAAUGUGGUGACAUACACGGCCUUAAUUCAGGGGCAGUGCAAUAAUGGGCAGUUGGAAUGUGCUUUUAGGAUGCUCCAAUCGAUGGAGGCCACCGGGCUGGUUCCUAGUGAGUGGACUUGCUCGAUGUUGAUUGAUGCUCUGUGCAAACGUGGAAGGGUUGGGGAAGCUCAGUUGUUUCUUGGGUCUCUUAUACAGAAAGGAUACAGGGUGAAUGAGAUUGUCUACACCAGCUUGAUUGAUGGACUGUGCAAGGCAGGAAAGGUUGAUGCUGCUGACAAGUUAAUGCAGAAAUUGGUUUCACAGGGGUUUGUGCUAGACGCUCACACAUACAGUUCACUAAUUGAUGGAUUAUGCAGGCAAAAGGAGUUGUCACAAGCGAUGUUGGUGUUGGAUGAUAUGAUGGUGAAAGGAGUACAACCCAAUGCUGUCACGUAUACCAUUCUAAUUGAUGAGCUUGUUAGGGAGCUAGGACCUGAAGGUUCAAAGAAGAUACUUAAUAAGAUGAUUGCGGCAGGAAUUAAGCCUGAUGUUUUCACCUACACAAUAUUUGUUCGCUCCUACUGUCAUGAGGGAAGGAUGGAAGGUGCUGAACAUAUGAUGGUUGAAAUGGUUGAUCAGGGCAUUUCCCCUAAUUUAGUGACAUAUAACACUUUGAUUAGUGGGUAUGCAAAUUUAGGACUAGCCAGUCAAGCAUUUUCAGUUUUUAAGCACAUGGUUGCUAGUAGGUGCAAGCCAAAUGAGGUGUCCUACACGGCCCUGCUUAGAUUAUUGGUAAAGAAAAAAUCCUCUAAUAAUAUCCUUGCCAGCUCUGUUGAUAUAUGGAAAAUAGCAGAAAUGGAAUAUCUCCAGGAGCUUCUGGAGGAGGUGGUUAAGCUUCAGUUGCUUUCAGACAUUGAAAUUUACAAUUGUUUUCUUAGGUCUUUAUGCCGAGUUGAUAGAUUGGAGGAAACCAAAAUUUUGCUCGGUGAGAUGCAGAGUGCUAACUUGACCCCUGGCGAGGAUGUAUAUACUUCAAUUAUAGGGUGUUGUUGCAGACUAAAAAUGCCAACAGAAGCUUUGACAUUUCUUGAUUCAAUGAUCAAAAGUGGUUAUUUACCACGUGUAGAAUCGUAUAGGCAUAUUAUUUGUUCUCUUUGUGAGGAGGGAAGUAUUAAGACUGCUAAAAAGGUUUUGGGUGACAUGUUAUUGGAGGAAUACAACUAUGAUGAGAUAGUUUGGAAGAUUCUGGUUGAUGGUCUAUUGCGGAAGGGCAAUGCUGCCGAGUGUUUGAUUCUGCUCUCAGUGAUGGAGGAGCAAGAUUAUCGCCCUGGUGAUGCAUUGUAUGCCAAGCUUACAGUCACUUGCUCUUUCAGCGGGCUGUUUCAUCCCUUGGAGGAAGCACACCCUUUCAGAAUACCACACAAACUCCACAUAGAAUAGCUCUCAGCCAAUGGCUAGACUUGUAUGUGUCAGGCAUGCAAUAGAUUCUCAAUGGUAUUGGGAACUUCUCAACCAACUCGGAGAGGAACGUGAGCGGUGCAUUCUAUUUUGCAGAUGGCAAGGCAGUUGUCGUCACAGGAAGAAAGAAGGGUAUUUUAUUUGUCAGGAUUAGGGAUAUCAAUUACCUGCUUGAAGAGAUAUAUACAACACCGAAGUUGAAUUGUUUGUUGAGUUGAUCGCUGUAACUUGGUGAAAUUACUAGUUUCUAAUGGUAAAGAGCAUGAAUAUUGACAAUUAUCUAAGUAUGUUCCAGGCUGCUCCUCGAAGAAUACUUGAAUGGUAAAUAGGAUAGUCAAAUUCUGGAAGAUUCCAUGGAUGCAACUUAUUGCUAAUGCACCGAGUCAGCUUCUGUAUAUAUGCCGGAUCAUAAUACUGCCAGUAACCUCGAUAGGGUUUCACGCGUAAUCGGAAGGCCAAAAGGGAGUCACAUGAGGCAGUUACCCAGGUCCAGUCCAGGCCCUCACGGUGGAGUUUCACAAUGUUAUUCAGAAAUAACUGAAGCACAUACUGGACUGUAUAUGGGUGGCUCAAAGGAAGGAAAUGAGCAUAUUUAGUCAGUCUAUUGACUACUGCAGGUACCACCUCUUUCCCUUGAGAUUUUGGUAAAACUUCUAUCAAAUCUAUGGAUAUAUGUCACCAUGGAACAUCAGGGAUUUCAAUAUGAUCCAGUAAUCCAGGAGAGUGUACAUGUUCUACCUUGGUUAAUUGGCACACUAGACAAGUACUGAUGUGUACUGUUCCACAUCUGUUUUCACUAGUAAGCUUGCACGUGCGACGCACGUCUCAAUUAAUGCACGUAUAUACACUAAAUAAGUCAUUCUUUCUAUAUUCUGGAGUUAUAUGUACACUAAUAUGUCUCCAGAAUAUUUUAAACAUCUUCAUUUGUUUAAAACAAAUAGCAAUAAAAAUAUUCUAAUCCAUUACAAAGAUAAAUCUCACAUAGUGAAAUGGGUUUACAUGGCGUAUAAGAAGAACUAGCACAAUGCCCGUGCGUUGCAACGGGGGUAUAAUAAAUAUUCUACUGAUUCAACAUCAAUUGUAUCAGAACAUAUACCUUUAGCAUCCUCGUCUUUUCCUUCAUUCGUCCACUAUCUCCACCUUUCCAAUCCAAACACGUCUUGACAUAUGUUUUCCACUUGUUCUUUCGAAGAAAAGCACUAUUGCAUACUUAUGUAUCUUUUUUUAGGGUUUCAUACAAAGGUAUCAAGAUGAUGAAACUUUUAUUAACCAUGAGCCAUAAUCAGAAAAUGUUUCAUGGAAAGCUGAGAACAAUGCAAGCCAUUAGCAUGUUAAUUUCAUCGAAUCGCUUCAUGAGCCAACAGAACUUUGCUAGAGCUUCAUCUCUUCAAUAACCAUGGCCUCUGUUGCCUUGCAAGGUUGAUCAUCCCUAAAAGCCAGUGUCCAUAUCCCAUCAACAUCAUACUUCUUUGUCUUCCCUUUAAAAUUUUCUGGUAAAGGAAAGGAACGACAAAAUGUUUUAUUUGAGAGGAAAUAAAUUGUGCCCAAUCUUUUUUCACUAGAUUUAUUAUCCACAACAAAAUUUUAUGUCGUAAUGCUAAUCUGUACAUCGGGUCCAUUUAUGGAGCCUGUACAUGAGAACAAUGCCAUCUUGAUGUACGUCGAGGUAAUUCUUCAUAAAAAAAAUAAUCCACCCAGAUAUUUUGUUAGAUACAACUAAAAAGCAGAAUUGACGUUCUUUCCCUCUCUCAAAUGCCAUUCGGCAAGGAAAAGCAUCAACGGCAAGAACAUCACGAUAAACAUUUAGUGUAUCACAAAUAUAGCGAAGAAUUAAGGUAUUCAAUUUCCAUACUGCCAAUUUAAGAACUUCAAGAAAACUCAGGCCUAAGUUGACUUCGAGCCUGGGUUAGGGCACUCAACCAUGAACAUCUAGCUCAGUUGCUUGCUUAUCUAUGGGCUGAUCCAUUGGAGAGUAAAAUAGGCGGUUAUUAGGUAGGUAAAAGUUUCUCAUAGGUGUAAGAGUAAAACUUGAUGUUGUACCAUAGAACCCUGCAAAAAUUACCGCUAUGUUUCAGAAUCAUCGGAGAAUUUGAAGAAAAAAAAUACUUCCAAUACAAAACAAAAUUUAGUAAGAUACGAGACAUUAUUUAAAUUCAGAGAGUACAAGAUUAAUUUGACCAGAUUCAAACUCAAAUCUUGCACAGAAUAUUCUAAUUCAAAGGAUACAAAAAGUAAAUGGACAAAAUCUACCAAGAAGUGGUGCCACAUGUGUCUACUGCCACUGCUGGAAAUGCUCCAAGUAUGGUCAGUAUCAGUGGGAAUGCCUAGUUCUAAAUAAGGGAACUGUAAUUUGAACAACAGCAGGUCCCAGAACCACACCUCAAGCAACAUUUCGUAGCCCAUAUAGCUCCUCAUCCUCUGUAGUGUAAAGAUCCCAAUCUCAUUCUCACUAAUCUAUCCAUGACAAUGAACUGACAUAAGUUUUAGCAUGCCAAGGAAAGGAGAUGGUAGCAUUUGGUUUUGCCAGGGUAGGGAGGAGCUCCAACAGAAAAAGGAGCCGGUGGAGAUAGCUUAGCCUUGCAUGCAAAAAUAACAUGUCAGAAGGCUGGGAGGAGAUCAUGCGGGGACGGCCAGCGUGUUUGCUCGAGCGAGCUGAUGGCCGACAGCUGUGCUCGAGUGCAGACGGAGCGCUGAGCUCGAGUUUGAUGGGAAGCGGCAUAGCUGGGACAAAUGCCUGCAUCAGUAAAAAAAAUGUAAAAACUACUCAUAAUUGCAGUCAUCCAUGAGAACAAAAUUUUGCUAAUUCACGAAGCUCAUAUCAGAACCUUAGAGGCAUUAUUCUCUUGUCUUGUCAGCGUGCUACAUAUCCAUAGUCAGAACUCGUAAGUUGUAGUACUGUUAUAUGCUUGGACACAAAUUUUUGAGAUAGAUUAUUGCUUGUUUCAUGGACUCAUGGAAUCAGAGUAUCAUAGUAUCAUUAACAAUGACAAGGAAGAGCUCCCGAAUUAAGUAGAAGAUUGCUUCAUCCCUUCUUGAAUGCCUUUUCAGAGAACCUGACAAACUAACAGGGCACUACAUAAGCCACCUAACAUCCAAAAUUAUAGAACCAAAAAGAUGCAGUAUGCUCAUUUCCUGAUGAUUUAAAAUAGAACAGAUGUGCCUAUAAUAACAUAAGUAGGCUUACCUUAAGUACCUCGCGCAAGCUAUCCUCCGAAGCCAUUUGUACACCACUUUUUCCCAAACCACGAUGUUGGGACAGGAAUAAGAGUAUCACUCAACUCAAGCAAGUGCCACGCAAAGCAACCAGUGAAUACCAUUUAAGCUAGCUGAUAAUGACAAACUAUAUUGUAUGAAUAUGAUGUCAGUACACUUCAGCCAUCAUUAAAUAAGCAACGGACAUCAUAAUAGCAACUUCACCAUUAGUAUAGUGUCUGAAAAGAAUGCCAAAUUAGAGGAACAAUUCAUAAGUGCUUUAGUUGGCAAAACAAUUUUAUUUUGACUUGGAUCCAUCGAUGAGAAUUCAAGAGGUCGUGGAAAACGUUUUGCUGCAGAUCAGACUGAAGGAAGCACCUGAGCUGGCCAUUGAGUCUUCAGGGAGAGUAAGCGUCAGCGGCUCCACAUCGUUGGAGAAAUAAUCUUCAAACCUAAGUUACGUCAUUAAUAAAAACAGUGGUGAGUAACAUGAAACCUAAGAUUCAGAGAGAUCUAUGAAGCCAUAGUCAAAGGAAAAUAUUUCUGCUGCAAUAUUUUUGUAAAGCAAGUAAGUCCAGUCAUGUAAAAUGAAGCAGAUAUACAUGGCUCAAUGAUGCACUAUCCCAUAUUAAGCAAAGUGUAAAAACUUAAGCUGGGCCAAGGUAAUACAAUCUUGGAAUGCUUACAAUUGUCUCCAUGAAGGUAUUCAGUAGGACGUUCCAGCUGAUCCUAGCUUGUGCACCACCAGCAGUUUCUUGCUGCAGUUACAUAUGUGCAGAUUUGACAGGGAACCAUUAACUUCAGCAGAAGUUUUCUCAAGUAAACCCUCAAAUUCAGACCUAGCACAGGUCAGGCAGUGAUACAAUAAUUGGAUUACCAAAAAGAACAUAGGGGAGAACAUGUAUAGCAUUUCUGGAGCAUGUGCUUAAUGGUAAAAACCUGGUCUUUUUAAGAUUGUUAAUAGCCUCCCCAGCUAACCGAUCAAGACUUAAUGAAUGUUCAAAAUGCAUGUGGACAGCCUUGGGUUCACCAGAUGCGUAAGACUUAAAAACAAAAAUACAAAUUAUACUAUUAAUUCCACCAGAAUUUGACUACCCAACAAAGAAGCUCACAACUAUGUUCAUUUUAGAAGAAAAGAAAAAUUAAGAACAUCUAAAUUUUACGAAGAUGACAAUUGUCGGCACCGAAUCAGCUUGGCGGAGGCACACGAGAACGUGUUCGUACUGGCUGCCGAGACACGGGCUGGCAGCAAGGACAUACUCAUCUUUCCGUCGCGUCGGUGGUUCAGCACUGUGCCAACGCCCGCAUCUCCUCUUUCUCCCCAUUCUCUAGGCUAAUAUAACCAAUCAGAAUGUACAAAAUAGGUAGUACGUAAAUGAAGACUUUCACAUAAAGUUAGUGCAAGAUGAAACACCAAAGGAACAAAAACUGAUUAGUGAAUUACCUCCUGUCUGUUGGGUCGAUUGAUCGAACAGUUUGGGUGCAGGUGGUUGCGGAUCUCGAGAAGAUAAUGGACGUCGAAGGUGGAGGCUGUAAUGGCAUGGGGGAGGGACCCAGGUGGUGCGGGGGUUGGGUCUGAUCCGGGAGGUGCGCCGCCGAGGUCGGGGUGGGAGGUGAGGUCGCCUUGCCUCUGCAGCCUCCGCUUCUCCACAACCUCUUCCCAGAGGAGGCGCACGUUGUCGGCUGGGACCACUCUGAACGGAGGAAGGUUGGAGGUGGGAGGAGGGUUGGAGGUGGUGGCCGCAGGAGCGCCGCCUGAGAUCGGGUGGGAGGUGGGGGGCGGCGCUUCAUGAGUGACGAAAAUAAAUAAAUCAAAUCGCGAAACGUUUUUUCCCCUGAAGUCACUUAAUCAUGAACUGUGGGUUGAAUACGAAAAAGCGCAGGGUCUUUUUUUGCAAAAUACUAAUGACGAACGACCAGAAGCGAUAAGCGCUUUACUAUUAGGUAAGGAUUUUGAAUUGACAGUCGUCAUCAACCAGAAGUACGGCAGCAAACAGUAGCAAUGAAAUCAUAUAUGUUUCUUACUGAUGUAUUAUGAUGAAUUACCUUCAAAUUUACAAAAAUAAGUCAGCAUCAUCCGGCAAGAUCAUUCAUACAUGUUAAGACCUUGAAAUUCACAUGAAAAAAAACAUGUUUACAAAUCUCCAUAUUCGAUUAUCGUAAUUGAGUUUUCUAAGAUAACCUCCGAUGUCUAUAUAUUAUAAUAGAGAACAAAGAGUAAUAUCAGUAAAAUCUAAGAUAAUGUUUUAGCAUUUAAGGAAAAUCUAAUUAUUGCUCUCAUCCUGAGAAUGAAUACUCUCCACCUCUUAUGAGGUUACAUUACUAAGUGGCAGCAGCAUACUGAAUGACAAUAUAUCGGGCCUCAUAAGAAAGAGUUUUGCGAACUUACUCAUGGCUCAUGACAUGGACUGAAACUUCUAAUAAUCCAAAACAAAAACCAGACAAUCAUUUAUUUGUCUGUAGAUAACAAGGUUGAACAUUUCUUGUGACAUUUCCAUUAUGCAUGACAAACAACAUGUAGCUCUCUGCAUCUGCUGUAUCCAUCCUUCUUCAAGGACUUCUGGUCAACAAAUAAUGUAUUCUCUGUAUCAAAGAUGGUUGUUGCCUGAUUAGGAAUCUGUUCCUUGUGCUAUCAACUGUUCAUAGCCUUCUUGGCAUAUUGUCGUUGUUUCAGUAGCCCACCUAGAACCAUCUUCUACAAGGAGACAGUGCCAUUAAAUUAGAGAAAAUGAGAAAUUUUGUAAUGCAUCAACUUCAUUGCGAUAUAAACACCAAUUUUUAGGCACAGCCGAAAACUGUUGAACCGGUAUGGGUCCAAGCCCAUCUUCUUAUCCCUUAGGGCCCAAGCCCAUGUGGAGGUGCUGACCUAGAAAGAGGCAUCCAUCCCUCCCGUUCCUAGUGAGCCGCCACACACGUGAGAAACUUCACGCAGGUCACCAGACACCAAGAGCUCUCCUGUAGGUACUCCUCUCGUUUCAACAUGGUAUCAGAGCCAGGUUGCCGGCGACGCUGGUGGUCUAGGUCGCCGGCCGGUGGCGAGGUCCGGUGAAAGGGGCAGCGCACGCAUCUGGGCGUGGCAGGAGGCGGCGAUCUGUGCAUGCACGCGAGGCGGCGGAGUGGUGCGCGGGACCUGGUGGCUGACGACGCGAGGAUUCCCGGCUGGCGCGGGAAGACCAGUGCGGCUACGCGAGCUGCUGUUGCUGCGUGGGAGGAACCAGCCGAGCUGCUAUUGCUACGCGGGAGGAAGUAGAGGAGGUGCGGUUGCUGAUUGCUGCAGAUUGGUAAAGGAAGGGGAGGUAACGAGCUGCUACUGCUGCUGUUCUGCUGGAGAAGGGUGCAGCUGUGUGCUGGUGGCUGGUGCUGGUUUGCUGUGCUCAGGGCUGCUGUUUGCAGAGGAAGAAGGAAGAGGCUACUGGUGUGGAGCUGUUGCUGGGCAUCUGAGCUGCUGUGUGCUGCUGCUAGCCAGGGGGUGUGAGCUGCUGCUGAUUGCUGAAGGUGAAGGGGGCAACGCUGCUGCUGUUGUUGCUGGGUGCUGCUGCUAUCCAGGGGAAAAAAAGGGACCGUGCAGCUGUAGGGCUGUGUUGCUGAGGGUUGCUGUUUGAUUACCGGAUCGGAGAUGACUGAACCAAAUGCUCUUGCUGAGGCUUUCGAGAAGCUCGCUAAGAUCCUCGCUGAGUCCAACUCUGGGGCCAUCGUUCCUCGGCAGGAAGUGGCGGAAGUGGCUCAAAAGCUUGAAAUGUCACCCCUGGACAUGAAGCUGGAGGGGGCCACAAACUAUUUGAGUUGGUCAAGGAGGGCAUUGCUGGCUGUGGAACAAAAGGAACUUGAUGGGCACUUAUUGGGUACAGUUGAUGAACCAGGAGACAAGACUACCACGGAGGGAAAGAGGUGGAAGGUCAUAAACUCUGUGCUCGUUGGCUGGUUGUUGAACUCAGUGGUGCCCCCCAUUGGACGCUCUCUGUGGAGGGACUAUCUACGUCCGCCGAUAUAUGGAAGACUUUAUCCGCCCAAUACUCAGGCAAGGGUAAUUUUAUGCUAAUUGCUCAGAUUGAAGGGAAGAUCAGUCGGCUGCGCCAAGGUGACGACAUGUCAGUGAUGGCAUAUGUGGCAGAGCUGCAGGCUUUGUGGGCGGAGCAAGAUAACUGCGAUCCUCUGGAACUCUGAUGCCGCUUGCAUCAAGUCAGGGUGGAAGUGGAUUGCACGCAGGCGUGUGUUGAAACUGUUGGAAGGACUUAGAGGCUGCUUUCAUGGAAGGGGGGCAUCCCUGUUGCACCAACCUCUCCAACUAUUGAAGAGACUAUUGCAGCAAUGUCUCAAGAGGAGGUGAGGCUGUCUCUUGAGCAUGCAGAUAUGAAGGCUGUGCCGGCUUCGACAUUUGCUGUCACUGAGCGCAUGGAGUGGGGAGAUCCCAACAAAUGUCAUGUUUGUGGGGAGAUAGGUCACUGGAAGAGGCAAUGUCCAACUCGUGGCAGAGGCAGGGGAUAUAACAGAGGGGGGACUGGCAUAGGUAGGCAUGCUAGAGGCAGGGGUGGAUACCUAGGGAACUUAGGGGGUCAAAUUUCUAGGGGCAUAGGUGGCUACUCAGGAAAUUCAGGGGGGGGGGCAGAGGUCACAUAUGGUAGUUGAAGGGGACACCGGGACGUCAAAGGGCAAGGAAGAUGAUGUGGCUACUCAGGACGUCUUGGAUACUCAAGUGUAAUAAGCCUUCAGUUCACUCAGAACAGAAUGUCUUCAGUGAUGCUCAAUCACUUUGGGGUUGGUUGUUUUGGGUUUGUCCUUGCAAGGAUUCUCUCUCAAAGGCUUCGGAGGAGGGUUGCUCUCACACGACAAAAGCCGUGUACUUCUCUCUGAACAGCCGCCAACUCAUGGUGGAGGGGGGUGGCUAUUUAUAGCCAGGGGCAACCUGACAUGAUUUGUCCGAAAUGACCUUGGAUCAUUGGGGAACUGACACAUGUUCAACAGUCGGAAUUUGAACCCACGUGGCAGCUUGACUUGGGCUACAAGUAAAGCUGACUCAUCCAACACAGGAUAAAUUUUUCUCUCAUUUGUCUUCGCUCGAAGACAUAGGAUUUUAGGUUGAGCAUCACGUCAGAUUCUGACUUCGUUUACCUCUACCCCACUUGACAGUUCGGUGGUUCCUAUGACUCAAGAAUUAAGAAAACGAAACUACCAAAAGACUAUGUCUUCGUGCUUCAUUGUCUUCAAUGAAUGUCUUCAUGAACCGUUAUCUUCAACAUGAAUGUCUUCGUGAACCACCUUUGUCUUCAGUGUCUUCAUACAUUUUUAGGGGUCGCCUUCGAUGGGUAAACCGAAUCAAUAGGGACUUCUACCUGUGUUCUGUGAAUCUCACGAACACGUUAGUCCCACAACCAAGUUUGUCUUCAAUACUCCAAAACCAACAAAGGGUUGCACUAGAUGCACUUACAAUCUUCCCCUUUUUGGUGAUUGAUGACAAACUGGUUGAAGUUUUCAACGGGGAUAAAAAUUUGUGAAGUUAAGGCACAAGGUGUUUGGUUUCAUGAAGUAGUAGGGGCUCCCCCUGAAGAUGUGCAUUUAUGUAAUUUGCUUUUGAAUGCAAAUGCACAUGGCAGAUUUUUCUUUGUGGAGAUCUCCCUCUUUUCAUGAAGUCACAACAUAUGCAUACAAAGAAUACGUUGAAAAUAAUGAAAUGCACAAUGGAAUAUGGGCGUCUGCGAAAUGACUUCAUGCGCAUAAGAUCAAAGUUAAGUAGCGGGCAACCAAAAACAGCAACGAAUGUAGCAGACGUUCAUCAGGACUUAAGUUUACAACCCCAUACCAAAUGUUCAAAAUGAGAGUUGCAAACUUAACAAAAUACAACAAACCCGACCCAAAAUUCUCUCUUGAAGACUAUCAACCCAUAUGCUUCUCCCCCUUUUGUCAUUGAAUGGGCAAAAAGGUGUGAAGACAUAGGGUGUCUAAGCGUUCCCGGAUGACGAUGGUGAAGAUGUUUGUGCAACCGGGUCGACGUUGGUGUUGGGUGGUGCAAAAGCCCGAUGCAGUAUCGCGAUGCAGAGAAGUCAUUGUUGGAGAAGUGGCAUCAUCUUCUUCAUCAACAAGCCGGGCGUAUGUUGGAGAAGUAUUUUUGAUGAAGAGGUUCCUGUUGCGAUUGAUGUCACUCUCUGAGAUGAGACGCCUUCGUUGACCUUGGAGAGCCAGUCCCAGACUACCUUCGCAGACUCCAGAGCACUCAUGCGGCCAUACUGUCCCUUGGUCAGAUGACCACAGAUGAUGUUUUUGACAGUCAAGUCCAGUUGCGCGAACCUCUUCACAUCAACAGCGGUGACACCUUCACUGACCUUGAGAACUCUAGUCCUGAUGACCUUCCAGAGGUCGUUGUCAAUGGCUUCAAGAUGCAUGUGCAUCUUAUUCUUCCAGUAAAGACGGGGCACACAACGGAGACCUUGAUUAUCCCUGUAGUUGACAUAGCUAAAAGUGCAGGUGGUUAAACCGAAUAGCACAGAACAAGGGAGCACCUUGUUUUGAUACCAAUUGAAAGUGCUAGUUAUCGACUAGAGAGGGGGGGGGUGAAUAGGCGAUUUUUAUGAAAAGGUUCAAAAACAGACAAUGUCUACGAAGGUAGCGGAAGUAAUACAUGAUCUAACAACACUGAUGAUUAAGAUGAGCAGGCAUGGCAGGUGUAGACCUCAUACAUGGAUGCAUGCAUUGAAGAUAAACACAAGAAGCAUGAAGAUAAAUGAGCAAACAGAUGAAUGGCUUCAGAGAAUAUCUUCAAACACAGACAAGCAAGCAAAGGAUUCAUAGAAUGAUGCAGUAAGUAAAAGGGAGAGAGGAUGGAGCAAGUAGCUCGGGGAAGACAAUGAUUUGUUUGACCAUUUCCAACUGCUGUGACAGUUGUAUUUGUAUGCCUGGUUAGGGAGUCUGAGAUUAAACUUAGAAGACCUUGUCUUCACCUUAUUCCCCUUGAGCUAAGGUCACCUAGACCUCACCCAAUCACUUAGGUAAGUCUUCAAGGUAGACUUCCAAACCCUUACAGACUUUGUUCACCGGCAAUCCACAAUGGCUCUUAGAUGCUCAGAACAUGACGCCUAAUCGACUAGAAGAUCAUAGUCUUCAAGUGUAAUAAGUCAUCAGUUCACUCAGAACAGAAUGUCUUCAGUGAUGCUCAAUCACUUUGGGCUUUGGUUGUUUUGGGUUUGUCCUUGCAAGGAUUCUCUCUCAAAGGCUUCAGAGCAGGGUUGCUUUUAAACGACAAAAGUCGUGUACUUCUCUCUGAGCAGCCGCCAACUCAUGGUGGAGGGGGGUGGCUAUUUAUAACCAGGGGGCAACCCGACAUGAUUUGUCCGAAAUGACACUGGGUCAUUGGGGAACUGACACGUGUCCAAUGGUCGGAAUUUGAACCCAUGCGGCAACUUGACUUGGGCUACAAGUAAAGCUGACUCAUCCAACAUAGGAUAAUAUUUUCUCUCAAUUGUCUUUGCUCCAAGACAUAGGAUUUUAGGUUGAGCAUCACGUCACAUUCUGACUUCGUUUACCUCUACCCUACUUGACAGUUCGGUGGUUCCUAUGACUUAAGAAUUAAGAAAAUGAAACUACCAAAAGACUAUGUCUUCGUGCUUCAUUGUCUUCAAUGAAUGUCUUCAUGAACCAUUAUCUUCAACAUGAAUGUCUUCGUGAACCACCUUUGCCUUCAGUGUCUUCAUACAUUUUUAGGGGUCAUCUUCGAUGGGUAAACCGAAUCAAUAGGGACUUUUACCUGUGUUCUCCUGUGAAUGUCACAAACACAUUAAUCCCACAACCAAGUUUGUUAUGAUCGUCAUAUUAGGGGCUUAGCCCAGUGGGUUGUGGCCCAAGUUAUCUUAUCCUUAUUAGGGGCUUAGCCCAAUUAUCUUAUCGUUUGCUUAGGAGUCAAGUAAACCUCUCUAUAUAAGGAGAGGAGAUGUAUCAAUCUAAUCAAGCAAGAAGCAAUCAGUAUUUGCUCGGCUUCCCUUAGGGAGCCGGGAGACCUAACCCUAGCCGCCUCUUGCGCCGCCGCCGCCUCUUCUCCAUCACGCAAGGACGGCGCCCAGCCGCCGGCCGCCGCGCCCUCGGCCUCGUCUUCCUCCAUCUUUCCCCUACAGUCUCCGCCCUAGAACCGGCAGAACCCUAGCUCCUAACAAAGUUUGUUUUCAAUACUUCAAAACCAACAAAGGGUGGCACUAGAUGCAUUUACAGAAACUUAAAUGAUAAGUGACUGUAGUGCUUCUACAAAUUCAUUCAUACGAUGCCUGUUCAGGAGUCAGGACAGAAGUGGAUUGGGUAUAUGCAUCAUCGUGAUUUCGAGUGUGAAAUGUUGUAGAUCUAAGACAUAAUAAAAUCAUCACUUCCUUAGCCAUAAACCGAAUAAAUCACAGAACAUAUUGGAAUCAUCACCAUGAACCAGCACAAGAUUGAUAAGUGGCCAUAUCAAGAUCAUACCUUUAACACAAGAAUCAAUCAUAACCAGUAGCGACUUAGUGCAGCAUCCCAGUUUUGUGAAUGAUAUAGAAGACGUGGUGGUUUCUUGUAGCUCCAGCAACGGGCUACCAAAGCCGUAAAUUGACCCGAGCUACAUAUGGAUGGGAGGAACCUGCAUAGCCGAACCUGCCUAUGGAAUCUCUGCAAAACAGAGUACACAGGGGAGCCAUGCAGCCUGAAGUCACCAUAGGGAAGAUUAUAUCAAACAAUUUGAUCCAAAUAAAUUAAGAAUCUUCUGCUUGUGAAUGUUCAGCCCCAUCCAUUCGUGCAAGACAGACUACAUGAGAGGCAGAGACUAACAAUGUUUCUAACUAAAAUAAGCUCCAUUAUCAUAAUAUCAUUAGACAAGCACUACGAUGAUCAGUAACACACCAAAUGAAUCAGCAAUAUUCUAGAGCUAGCAGAGAGCUUACAGCCCAAGCAUACGCGAAACCGCGCAAGGAAGAUGCCCACAUCCAUAUCUCGACAACGGAGUCGAUCCGUCACUCGGAGAGCUUACAACCCAAGCAUACAAUAUUUGAUUUGGUCGCUCCCCGACAGCAAGUCGAUCUCAUGCAUUCUCAUAGUCGUAGGUGGCCGGCGCUUGAUCCUCGUCCCACUUCACGGCGCCACCAUCCUCAUACGUCCUUACCGGGGUUGGUAGAUCCUGUGGAGGGCCAGCAGGGAAGACCAGUGAAGCAGGAGCACGCCUGGGCAGGUCAUCACUGUCAUGGUAGGGCAUCACGGGAAAGGCGUCGGCGCGGUCAAAUGAUGGCGGCGGUAGCGGCGGCGUCAUGAGAUUUUGUUUUGCGCUAAGGUUUUCUUUGCGGGGACAUUUAGCGCUGAGUGGUUGCGGACAUGGGACAGGGAUAUUUCUUCUACCGGUGGAGCUUGGUCAGCCUGCGGGGGACAUUUAGCGCUGAGUGGUUGCGGACACGGGACAGGGAUAUUUCUUCUACCGGUGGAGCUCGGUCAGCCUGCGGUAAUUGCUAGGUCCACACAAUCAGGAUUAGAUUAAUCCUGACGGUUAAGAUUUGCCUAAGAGAGAUGAACUGGUGGUGCUGUUCUAGCUGUGUACGUUUGCUGGGGUGUGUUUAAGAAAGAAAAAGUUUGCUCUUUUAUAAGUAGUAGAGAAAUUGGGCCAGUAAAAGUACCUUUUCAGCCAGUGAUAUGUUCUAAUUCCAGAGUGACCCUCAAGUGCAGAAGUGUGAUAUGUAUGCAGGAGUGUUUGACUAAAGGAAUUUGCAGUUCCAAUGUAUAACCUGGUGUUGUAUUUGAGCACACCAUCAUUUGGAGAGAACUUGUCUUGAUCAAAAACAUCUUGUGCGACUUUGGUCAAUAGUUUGUAGUAGUCAGCAUGCCCAACAUAACUGUUUUUAACAUCAGUGAGCAGUGCCCCUAGUGUGUUUUAAAUGUAGUUUUGGGGAUGUCUGGUGUGGCCAUUCUUAUUAGGUGAUAGCCUCACCUUAAAUCGAAUUUGCUAAAGAAUUUUGCUCCAGUAAAUCCUCCAUAAGAGGCAUGGGGAAUUUGUUUUUAAAACGCAGUGGAGAACUCUCUGUAAUUCACACAUAAUCUCCACCCCCAUCCUUUUUUAUGACCAUUACCGCUGAAGAGGAAUAGGGACUGAAACUGAGUUCAUAUAAGCAAUGAGGUGCUCAUUCUGCAUCAGCACAGCACCCACCCGUGACCCCUAUUGCGCAAGCGUCUGUUUCAAUGGCAAAUGGCAGCUUGAAAUUUGGCAAGGCCAAAGACUGGGGUACGGGUCAUCACUUGUUUUAAGAGCUCAAAUGCUGAUGUAGCAUGUUCAGACCUGACAAACCCCUUCUUAGUCAGCAGCUGUGUCAGGGGUUUCGUGAUGAUACCAUAAUUCCGAACAAACUUGCGGUAGUACCCUGUUAAUCCGAGAAACCCUCGCAAUUCUGUAGCAUUGGUGGGUACGGGCCAUUUCUUCGACUGUUUUUUCUGGAUCCGUAGCCACCCCAGUGUCUGAAAUAAUAUGGCCAAGAUACUGAAUGUUGCUUUGCCGGAGGAGUACUUGGACAGUUUUGCAAAGAACUUGUUUGCACGGAGCUGCUCGAGCACAAGGCGUAGGUGUUCCAGAUGAGCUUCCCAUGAUACAUUGUACACCAGGAUGUCGUCCAAGAACACUAUCACAAUUUGUGAAGUAAAAGAGCAAAGACUGAGUUCAUGACGCACUGGAACGUCGCUGGUGCAUUCGUAAGACCGAAGUGCAUCACAUGGAACUGAAAAUGCACGUGGUGUGUUUUGAAAGCCGUCUCUGGUUCAUCUUCAGGGCGCAUUCAAAUCUGAUGAUAGCCUGCACGAAGAUCUAGCUUUGAAAAGAACCUUGUGUGUGCGAGCUCAUCGAGUAAUUCGUCCACCAUCAGAGGGGUACACAUCUCCAUUAGAGAAGGGGUUUGUGACGAUUCACCAACUCUAGUAUGCAGUGUAUUGUGCUCUUUAUGUAGGUGAACACACUAGGUGCCUGUGUGCCACAUUUAUACAUCUGGUCCGUACACACAAGCACACAUCUUCUACCCGUCGCUUCAGGUAUGCAUCUUUCCUCUGUUUUAAUGCUAUAAUAACCCCCCCUCCCUCCCAUGCGUGCUUCUCUCCCAUGGCACUGUGCUCUGGUGAAUGGAGGAGAGAAGCCUCCAGGCAUGCAUCGGCCGCUGCACAGGAGCUGCAAUGUGCCGGCAGCCAUGUCUCUAUCGUUGUUGUCACGUGGACAGCCGUGGCAACAGAGGAGAGCUGCAGCGGCGUCUAGCCUGUAAUAGCUGUUGCAUCAAUUCCAUUUUUUGGGUUCACUUGAGAUCGACGAAUCGGAAGGAAACUUGAGAUGAUUAGAGUUCGGUGAAUCGGACAUCAAUUUCCGAUCAAACCGAGCGAAUUCGUACUCCGAUCUAGAUCUGGGAGCAUAGUGAACAUAAAACUAGUUAAAGAAGACGCACAUUGCUUAAACAAAUGGAAUGAAUAGUUUGCUAACUGGGGCCAUAGCGAACAUAAAACUAUCCUAACAACAUUUUCUUAUUUUGCACUUUCUUCCGUAAAUAGAUGAUGUGUAGGACAUGGGCGCAGUCUCCACCAUGCAACGUGGACCAUUAAUUUCCGUACAAGUAUAUCAGUAGAAGUAAUAUGAAAUACUACCUCCGUCCCAAAUUAUAAGACAUAAGUGUCUUAUUUUUUUUCUGAGAAAACGCGAGAGGUUGCAUUUCAUUGCUUUGGAAAGAGAGAGGGUUUUAGUUACAAUCCUUCAAGGAGGGAAUUACAGUGCCCAAAGGCGCAUCAGUGAACGUCCCAAGUUUGCGGUACGAUGGCUUGUAGCCCGAGGGCGCCGACUCUGGCCCAGAGGGCGGCCUCGUCCUUGAUCUUCGUGAGAAGGUCGGUCGCCGAGGGCCGUCCUCUGUCGAAGACGCAGUUGUUAUGAUGCUUCCAGAUCAUCCAUGGACGAGGAGGGUCGUGGAGGCGAGCCCCUUGCACAUGGGUUGGGGGGUGUGCUGCCACGCCGUGUGCCACCAGUUGUUGAGAGAGGUCUCGCUGUCGGGCGGGGCGCAGGGGAGCUGGAGCUAAUACAGUACCUCGUGCUAGAUCUGCCGGGCAAAGGGGCAACCUAGGAUAAGGUGGUGCAUGGUCUCGGGGGCCUGGUCACAGAGGGGGCAUCGCACAGGGUGUUGCAGGCCGUGGUCGGCGAGGCGGUUGGCCGUCCAACAUCGGUCCCACAAGUGAUGUGAAGUCGGGUUGACCUAGAGGGUACCCGCGAGAUAAUUAUGAGGCGCGGCCGGGCUGGCAGACACCAGCCCGCCCUAGAGUGGGCUGGUCUUGGCCCUUGCCGCAAGUCCUCAAGACCAAGGUAGUUAGAGUCGGGAUUCGGAGUCGGAUCGGUUUUCCUCAGACAUAAUCGAGUCGUAAGAUCGAGUCGUGCAAUCGAGGAUUCUACUAGAUUUACUCAAAUAAGAUAUUUUGUAUGCACACAAGAAAUUUAUAUGGGUUCUAUAGAGUUUUGAAACUAAAUAUGGAGCAAAGAACAUACAAAUAAAGGCUAGUUGUAUUCCACUUCAUUUUAUGCCUAACCAACCAUCUAGCUCGCAUGUAUGGAACAUAUAAGAGAGCGAAAUAUAUAGAACAUUUAAACCUUCAAUGCACGAAAUUUACUUAUGUUCUUUUUAGAGUGCGUGAAUAGUCGAUCACUUGUCUAUCUGACCUACAGUGCUAAACCUUGAAGGGUCUUGCUCUCCUUCUCCGAUCAAUCUUGAAGCAUCCUCCUUUUCACGCCAAUUCCAUAUGUCGACAAGCCUGAUCCUCAAUUUCGAUCUAGAGUUUCUAAGAGCUAGAUCAAAGGUGUCUACGGUGAGCAUUUGGACUUGGGAGGGGAAUAAAGGUCCAUGAGGUAUAUGAAAGGGGGUUUGGAUGAUGGCAUAUUAUUUUGCUACAACUAAACAAAUGGCUUAGAUAAGUUAGUAGAAUCGGAUGUAGUUCAUAGCAUAGUCGGGAUUGUACAGUUUUGUACAAGAUUCUAUGAUUUUGAUCGCGACUCAACAUGGAUUCUACCUUAUCCGGAUUCAUAGUGGGAUUUGGAUUGACAUGCUUCCAUAGGGUCGUGAAGUCGUAGGAUUCUAGCAGUCGAAUCAGGAUUCUGACUACCUUGCUCAAGACAAGGCGACAGGAGUACUGAUUGUCACCGCACGCUCCCAAGUCACUAACGAGAUUGGGUAUUUGAUCUGAGUUAGCCACUAGCCUAUACGCACUAACCACCACGUGGGAACAUAUAUGGGCACUCAGCGUAGUAUGUAUCAACCGAAGCUCUCCAGACGUCAGCGGUUUAGUGGCGCGCGCUCGGGUGGCCCACGUAAGCACCAGCCUUGUUUAAGGAGGUUGCCAGGACUGACACCGACCGCAUUCGCAACACGCAGUAUUGCAAAGGACGAUUGGCCCAUGGCCCCUUCACAUUUAGGAUGUAGACCGACGUGCUGGCCUCUCUGUUGAGGCUGGGCAUGGCCUAGGAAAGUGUGUCCGGCCAGGUGAUCAAGCGUGUUGGGAAAUGUGGUGCACCCUUGCAAGGGAGUUAAUCUAUUUGAAUAGCCGUAUCCUCGGUAAAAGGACGACUUGGAGUUGUAUCCGAUCUAUACAACUAGAACUGGAUACUGAGAUGUAAAUGGGAUAUGAUGGCUCCGGGAUUGCUUUGUCGCAGGGAGUCGAGAAAGGACCUCUGGGCGUUAAUACUACAACAUGCUUGCUUAAUAUAUGCUAUUCUAUACUCUUCUAAAUGCUACAAGAUGCUUGAAGAUGCUAGCCUUCGAUAGGCUAGGCUUUCCCUUCUCUUUUGGCAUUCUGCAGUUCAGUCCACAGACACAACCCAUUCCUUUGAUACUGAUGCAUACUUAGUUUAGAUCUGAUGUAAGUCUUGCGAGUACUUUGGAUGAGUACUCAUGGUUGCUUUGCUACC